GCCACAUCAGGUUGGUUGAAACACUGUUUCUCACAUGAUCUCCAAAGUUAAGCAACAUUGAGCCUAGUCAGUACCUAGAUGGGUGACCACUUUGGAAUACCAGGUGCUGUAA